rnacentral:lncRNA from 1 species
GGAGGGUUUGGGGUGCCCAGAGCAGGGAUAAAGGGGGAUGGAGGGUUUGGGGUGUCCAGAGCAGGGGCUGAAGGAUGGAUGCAGGGUUUGGGGUACUCUAAGGGCAGGGAUAAAGGGGGAUGCAGGGUUUGGGGUACUCUAAGGGCAGGGAUAAAGGGGAUGGAGGGUUUGGGGUGCCCAGAGGGGAGGGAGAAAGGGGAUGGAGGGUUUGGGGUGUUCAGAGCAGGGGCUGAAGGAUGGAUGCAGGGUUUGGGGUACUCGAAGGGCAGGGAUAAAGGGGAUGCAGGGUUCGGGGUCUGGCAGUGCCCAGCAACACCAAGCCCCUCGGGGGUCUCAGGCCAGCAGCGGGCCCAGGGACAUCCCCCUGCCCCUCGGCCGGCCCAGGGCAGGGCAGCUCCCGCCGGCCCAUCCUGAGCUGCAGGGGGAAAAGCCAGCGAGGUCCAGAGCGAACCAGAGCCGGGAGGAGCCAGUGGGAACAGCAGAGCCGGGACAGAAACUCUCCAAGACAAAGUCAAAAAGGUGACGCUUCGCAAACUCAAAAGCAACAACGUUUUGCCACCAAAGAGCACAGGAGGAGCUUUGGCUCUGGGGCCAAAGGCUGGGACAGAGAAGUGGAGGGGCCGGAGCGGCGGCAGCGCCCGGGCCCCGCCCUCGCACCCGCCCGGGACGGGCUCGGGACUCAAAGAAACCUGAAUUGGAGUUACCGAGGUAGUUGGCUAAAAACUGAGAUUCCCCCACCCGGCAUUUCUGGAAGGACCCCCUUGCCCUGCUCCUUGGUGCCAGGUGUGCCCAGGUGUGGGGGUGGCCUGCAGGUCACUGUCCCCAUCCCGGGGUCUGGGGGUGGCCUGCAGGUCACUGUCCCCAUCCCCAGGUCUGGGGGUGUCCUGCAGGUCAUUGGGGGUGUCCUGCAGGUCACUGUCCCCAUCCCCAGGUCUGGGGGUGUCCUGCAGGUCAUUGGGGGUGUCCUGCAGGUCACUGUCCCCAUCCCCGGGUCUGGGGGUGUCCUGCAGGUCACGGCCACCGCCUCCAGAACCAACCUCAACGAAAAGGG